GACGAACCGUGCGAACGUUGUUCGGAAUCACUGGGCUUAAAGGGCGCGUAGGCGGGCUGUCAAGUCUGGGGUGAAAUCCCGCGGCUCAACCGUGGAACUGCCUCAGAUACUGACGGUCUCGAGGGAGGUAGGGGCGAGCGGAACUGUGAGUGGAGCGGUGAAAUGCGUUGAUAUUCACAGGAACUCCGGUGGCGAAGGCGGCUCGCUGGACCUCUUCUGACGCUGAGGCGCGAAAGCUAGGGGAGCAAACGGG
rnacentral:rRNA from 1 species